rnacentral:rRNA from 1 species
CAGUAGCCGCGGGAAUACGAAGGGUGCAAGCGUUAAUCGGAAUUACUGGGCGUAAAGCGUGCGUAGGCGGUGAGUUAAGUCUGCUGUGAAAGCCCUGGGCUCAACCUGGGAAUUGCAGUGGAUACUGGGUCACUAGAGUGUGGUAGAGGAUAGUGGAAUUUCCGGUGUAGCAGUGAAAUGCGUAGAGAUCGGAAGGAACAUCUGUGGCGAAGGCGACUAUCUGGGCCAACACUGACACUGAGGCACGAAAGCGUGGGGAGCAAACAGGAUUAGAUACCCCCGUAGUCCCUGUCUCUUAUAC